rnacentral:misc_RNA from 1 species
AACGCAUAUUGCGCCCGCUGGUAUUCCAGCGGGUAUGCCCGUUCGAGCGUUAUUUUAAUUCCUUCCCAGGAAGGAGCCGCUGUCUCCAUAGAGGUUCCUGCCAGGGGCGUUGGCAUCGGGCGCCGCUUAGGCGGCCGGAGCCCAAAUACAGUGGCGGACGCGUAGGCGGCCCCUAGCGUAGUAGAAAAUAAUUUUUUUUUUCUCGCUUAGGAGGCUCGCAGCGGUGGACCAUAGCCCUACGCAAAGCUUUUUGCAACCAAAAUUUGACCUCGGAUCGGGUAGGAUUAUCCGCUGAAUUUAA